GGGGGAAUGAGAACUUAAGAGGAGGACAAGUACUUCGAAGAUUGAAGGAUGAGAGCAUUUGAUGAGUCUUUGGAAGUCUUUGUAGUGUACAUACUCGACUCUAUAAGAACAAUUCGUGCCAACUGUGGCGUCGACUUAUAUUUUGUGAAGAAAACAUUUACAGCAUCCACGAGAAGUAGGAUGGUUAGAGAAAGAGAAGCAUGACCUCCUCUACUAACAUAGCUGUUAUACUAGAAACCCAAUCGAAGAUGUAGCGAGAG
rnacentral:lncRNA from 1 species